CUGGAGGUCAUUUGAGAGUCUCGGAGGGGUCACUUGAGGUCAUUUGGGGGUCACUUGAGGUCAUUUAGGGGUCACUCAAGGUCAUCUGGGGUCACUUGAGGUCAUUUGGGGUUACUUGAGGUCAUUCAGGGUCACUUGAGAACAUUUGGGGUUACUUGAGGUCAUUGGAGGCCCUGGGAGGGAUCACUUGAGAUCAUUUGGGGUCACUUGAGGUCAUUUGAGAGCCUCGGAGGGGCCACUUGAGGUCAUUUAGGGGUCACUCAAGGUCAUCUGGG